CGUUCAGUGGCCCGACUCAUUCUUUGUUCUCCAAUUCAUCGGACAAAACUCACUCUUGUCUCGGAAGCAACUUGAACGAUUGAAGAACUCACUCUCAUUUCAGACAUUUCAUUCCCUAGAAUCAGUAAUCAACAUCUCUUCCUAGACAAAAUCCCUUCACAAUCUUCAUAAUCAUCCACCUAACAAAACAGAAGAGAACAAGGAAAAAAAGAAAAGAAAAGCAAAUGCAAAGCCAGAACAAAACAGGGAAUUCGAGGAAUAGAGAGGAGCUAUUGUUUGCCGACCAGACUUCGCCAGCACUGUGGUGGCUGGAUUUCUUCUUCAGAAAAGCACGGUGAAGUUUCUUUGGUUUUUUGUUUUUUAGUAAUUUUCAGCCCACCACCGCUAUCACCAUCGCCAUCGCUAUCGCCGUAUUGUCAUUAUCUGAAAUUGAAUUUUUGUGCUCCAAUUUUAAAUGCUUUUCAUGACCUUACUUUCUUGUUUGUGGGUUUAGUUCAGGUUAAUAAUGGUAGAUUAUUUGUUCGGUUCUCUUAUUUUUUGUGUUGCUGAAACAUUGGUUGUGAGUUCGGAUAGGUUAGAAAUACAUUUGAAAGAAAAAAGUUCCGUUUUCGCUAAUGCCCAAAAUGUAUUUGUAAAAAUGGCAAAGCAAACGAAUUUCCGAAACGUAUUUCCUAAUUGCUCAAGUUGGGAAGGUUUCUGGAUAUGCAUUUCAAAUUUAUGGAUUACUCUUAGUUGCAAAUUUUAUUUCAGCAUAAUUCGUAGAUUUUUUGCAUCUCUUUGGUUUCUGAAAAAAAGAAGCAUGAAAGUUGUACUUUGGUUGAAAUACUUCAGAACUCCUACAGAGUCUUUUCCUGUGGAGUAUUAAUGUUUUGGGAAUAAUUGCAGACUGAAGUUUGAAGGAACUAUGGAAAAGAAUGAGGUUUUGUUUUUGUUUCUUCAAUAACUCAUAAUUGAAGCCUAAGUGCUUAAUUUUGUAAAAUGUAUUGUGGCAUACUGGAUCUAAAUUGUCUAGUCAGUCUUUAGUCUUUGAACGGAUCUAGUCAUAAUUUGACAUGAAUUAUUAUUAUGUAUUGAUUAGUUCAGGCAAAUUGAAAGUCAUACCAUUGCUUGAGUAUCGAAGAUGAGGCAUUACGGCUUAAGGACUAAGUGCUGUUGUUGAUCCUAAUGCAACGAAAUACUAUGUGAUUAACUCUUUACUCUCUUUCAAAUUAAUCUCUGAUUUUUCAGCAUGACAGGUAUGGAUCUCACGUCUCAGUGGCACAUACUCGCUUCGUACGCCUGAUGAUGGUGGGGGAGCAUUGAGUGGGAUGUAUUUGGGAUUAAGGGGCUCUUGCGAAAAUAACUCAUUUAUGCUAUGGGAUUACUUGGGGGGACUAAUAUGUUCUAGCCCAAAUUGGUGCCGCCCAAUUCUAUGAUGUAACAUAAAGCCCCAUUUGUGGUACUUUGAACACGUGGAUAUAUUUCAGGUCCACCAUUCUUUUUUUUCGAAAGAGGUCCAUCUUAGUCUCUUCAGUUCAUAAAUACAGUGGUAAAGAAAGAAAUUGGCUGCCUGAUAGGAAUCUCAAUCACGGAAGAUUGGAGAAUUACUACUGGCUGAUAACUGGAAUACAAGUAGUAAAUGUGAUUUAUUAUCUAGUAUGUGCUUGGUUUUAUACCCAUGAACCAUUGGAUUUGGCUGCUGAAAGCAGGGAUGCAAUGGAUUUGGAGUUAGCAAAGUGGAGAAUUUUACCUAUUGAUUCUAGUGUAAAUGCAGAAACAGAACAAGAGAGAUAUAUAUGGUGGAGGAAGCAUGAAUUUGUUCCUUUUAUUGUGCUGUGCUAGGGCACUUUAAUUAGAUUCUCAGUGCCAAGUUCCCAUUUACUUUCAACUGCCACUUCCAAGAUCUUGCUCUCUC